rnacentral:lncRNA from 1 species
GAUAGGAUGGUUCUGAACGAUACAAUACAAAUGGAUGCUUCGUUGUAUGAAUGGGACGUUACAUGGUUUUAUUUGGUUGUUUGAAUAGGACGAUACAUGAUGAUACACGAUCAUGUUUGGUUAUCUAAAUGAAUCAGGUAUGGUAAUUACCUCAAUAUUAUAAGUGUUAUUGUUUCCCAAGUGGCUGAAAUGUCUUAAGUGUUGGAUAUGUUACCAAAAUAGCCAUGUUGAGGUGUGUGGAUUUUUGGAUUUUAGCUAAACACUCAAAAUUUGGACAACAUGAAAGUUGGAGUAGAAAUUAUACACAUUGUCAUGGAAGGAUCAUGG